GGGCCCGCACAAGCGGUGGAGCAUGUGGUUUAAUUCGAUGAUACGCGAGGAACCUUACCAGGGCUUAAAUGUAAGUUGCAUUAGUUAGAGAUAGCUAUUUCUUCGGACCACUUACAAGGUGCUGCAUGGUUGUCGUCAGCUCGUGCCGUGAGGUGUCAGGUUAAGUCCUAUAACGAGCGCAACCCCUGUUGUUAGUUGCCAGCGAGUCAUGUCGGGAACUCUAACAAGACUGCCGGUGCAAACCGUGAGGAAGGUGGGGAUGACGUCAAAUCAUCACGGCCCUUACGUCCUGGGCUACACACGUGCUACAAUGGUCGGUACAGAGGGCUGCAAUACCGCAAGGUGGAGCGAAUCCCAAAAAGCCGGUCUCAGUUCGGAUUGAGGUCUGCAACUCGACCUCAUG
rnacentral:rRNA from 1 species